UACGUAGGCAGCAAGCGUUGUUCGGAGUUACUGGCGUAAAGGGGUGUGUAGGCGGUUCUUUAAGUUUGGUGUGAAAUCUCCCGGCUCAACCGGGAGGGUGCGCCGAAUACUGAGGGACUCGAGUGCGGGGAGAGGAAAGUGGAAUUCCUGGUGUAGCGGUGGAAAUGCGUAGAUAUCAGGAGGAACACCGUGGUGUAGACGGCUUUCUGGACCGUAACUGACGCUGAGACACGAAAGCGUGGGGUAG
rnacentral:rRNA from 1 species